rnacentral:rRNA from 1 species
UGAGGAAUAUUGGACGAUGGGCGCAAGCCUGAUCCAGCCAUGCCGCGUGCAGGAAGAAGCAUCUAUGGUGUGUAAACUGCUUUUGUACGGGAAGAAUCACUCCUACGUGUAGGAGCUUGACGGUACCGUAAGACUAAGGAUCGGCUAACUCCGUGCCAGCAGCCGCGGUAAUACGGAAGAUCCAAGCGUUAUCCGGAAUCAUUGGGUUUAAAGGGUCCGUAGGCGGUUUAGUAAGUCAGUGGUGAAAGCCCAUCGCUCAACGAUGGAACGGCCAUUGAUACUGCUAGACUUGAAUUAGUAGGAAGUAACUAGAAUAUGUAGUGUAGCGGUGAAAUGCUUAGAUAUUACAUGGAAUACCGAUGGCGAAGGCAGGUUACUACUAAUGGAUUGACGCUGAUGGACGAAAGCGUGGGGAGCGAACA